GCUGAGGGGCUUAGGAUCCGAUGGACAGGAGCUCGUGAAAGCGGGAUCCGACAGUCGAUCAGCCAUCGAUAAGGGAAACCAUGAUUCAAAGGCUCAAGGAUGGAGAAAUCAGGGGGAGGGGGUCGGUUGCCGGUGGAGGAAAAUAAUAGGAGGUGGGGAAAAAUGAGGGCACACAAUUAGAUAAAAACUGUGAGAACCGAGGGGGG
rnacentral:lncRNA from 1 species